AGUAGCAAUACUUAGGUGGCAGACGGGUGAGUAACAUGUGGGUAUCUACCCUUUGGCCUGGAAUAACACGAGGAAACUUGUGCUAAUACCGGAUAAGUCUUUACGGAGAAAGCUUUAUGCACCAUUGGAUGAGCCCGCACUUGAUUAGUUUGUUGGUAGGGUAAUGGCCUACCAAGACUAUGAUCAAUAGCUGAUUUGAGAGGAUGAUCAGCCACAUUGGGACUGAGACACGGCCCAAACUCCUACGGGAGGCAGCAGUGGGGAAUCUUGCACAAUGGAGGAAACUCUGAUGCAGCGAUGCCGCGUGAGUGAAGAAGGCCUUUGGGUUGUAAAGCUCUUUCGUCGGGGAAGAAAAUGACUGUACCCGAAUAAGAAGGUCCGGCUAACUUCGUGCCAGCAGCCGCGGUAAUACGAAGGGACCUAGCGUAGUUCGGAAUUACUGGGCUUAAAGAGUUCGUAGGUGGUUGAAAAAGUUGGUGGUGAAAUCCCAGAGCUUAACUCUGGAACUGCCAUCAAAACUUUUCAGCUAGAGUAUGAUAGAGGAAAGCAGAAUU
rnacentral:rRNA from 1 species